rnacentral:tRNA from 2 species
GCGGUCAUCGUCUAGUUUGGUCUAGGACACUGGCCUUCCAAGCCCGUAACCCGGGUUCAAAUCCCGGUGACCGCA